AGAAUUCCUAUCAUUGUAGGAUUUCAAGGAGCCUCAGGACAUCUUCCUGGGUUUGGAACCAUCGCAGGAAUCACUAGGCUCCUUGACAACGUCAGUCACUGGCGCUUCAUCAUUCAAAGUCCUUGCAGUGAGGGGGCACCCUUGGGGCCCCUUCUUGCUAAUGCCGGUGUUACAGCGGGAGCUAAAGAGCUGCCCCGAGGUCAGGGGCUCUCCACGUUAGACACUGCAGCAGCCGGUAUUUACCCAUAUUUGAACAAGGCCUCUGCCUCCGAGCUGACGGGCUGAACACACAGCUACCUAAAGGGUGAGGAUCCUAUUUUUCCCUUGAGAAACAAAGGCAAUGGAAAAGUGUCUUGCCUGAGAUUAAGCACCGUAACUGUGGGACAGCUGAGGAUACCUCUGGUUCUCCUAAAUUCCCCGUGUAAAGCACUAAUCUUAAGCCCGUAAGGCAAUACCUCAUCUUCCUCUUUGAACUCAGCGGAAGCUACACCAAGCGAAGGGAGAGAAACCUGCCCGUCCUCUUUCUCCGGGGGCCUGGGCAUGGGCUCCAGCCGAGGUGCUCCACACUGCAGGCUUUCCAGGAGCAGGGGUACUUACUCUGAAAAAUGUGCAAGCCAAAGAGCUUUCCUUUCCAAGAAAGCUAUUUUUUUUUUCCUCCAGAGCAAAGUUACCAGUGGUUUUUACUCUCUACAGGCCUAUAGUCACCCUGGUUGUCUUGCAGCACAUGAGUCUGACCACUGCACACCUGAGGCUGUGGAAAUGCCUGUAUCCUCAUUGGUGAGCAGCUGCCUGCUAAAAAAUAAGAAGUGGAAGCCCUAAACCAGCAAGACCCUUCGAAGGCUGGGUUCAAUAAGGCAGCGGGUGUAGUUGCAGGUCUGGGCUGUGGCCGCACCACAGCAGGCGGUGGCAUCUGAGCUGUAGCGAUGGGGCACAUGGGAGACCGACAGGGAAAGUGCGAGCGCAUAGCCAACGGCGUUAAGGUGCUGAGCCGCUGGCCACACUCCUUCGGCAGGAGGAGAGGCCAGGUGGCACCCACUCCUUCGCCCCCGGCCCUCGCGCCGGCUCCGGUCCACGCUGUGAGCAGCUUGUUAGCUCUUCUUUGUCAGGCGGCCGCUCUGCAUUUAUAGGCUCCCGGGGGCAGGUAGCUGACAAACCUGUCAAAUUAUGGAGACCCGCCAAACACCCCAGGUGUUUCACUGCCGUCAGUACUCUUUUCAGGCUGUUUAUAUUCCCUUUAAACAACUUGCAACAGCCAGGCAGUUUCUUUUCAAAAAAGUGUGUUUUCCUAGCUCUGUAUGAUCCUUUUCAUGUGUGAAAGUAAAUAAUCAUCAUUGACUAUUAUAGUAUUCGUGCAUAAAGAAACAAUAUUUUAAUAAAGCUAACAUGCUUGACAAGAGGAGAGCGAGAGGGUAAAACAACAGCGGCAAAUAAACAAGAGGAAAAGGUUGCUUUUGCAAAGAUGUAUUUUAUUACGAAUGAAUAUGUUGCAGGUUUAUUAAGGGAAAGUAGUUGUUCUGCUCGUCAGCUCUCAGCAGAGCCUCUUUAUGAAUAAAAUGUGGUUGUGGUUGAAAUAA